AUUGAACGCUGGCGGCAGGCCUAACACAUGCAAGUCGAGCGAGCGGCGGACGGGUGAGUAAUGUAUGGGGACUGCCCGACAGAGGGGGAUAACUACUGGAAACGGUAGCUACUACCGCAUACUAUCGGAUCACCCAUAUGGGAUUAGCUAGUAGGUGGGGUAAUGGCUCACCUAGGCGACGAUCCCUAGCUGGUCUGAGAGGAUAAUCAGCAACUCGGGGACUGUGACACGGCCCAGACGCCUACGGAGGCAGCGGUGGGGAAUAUUGCACAAUGGGGGCAAUCCGGAGGCGGCCAUGCCGCGGGUAUGAAGAAGGCCCUAGGGUUGUAAAGUACUUUCAGUCGGGAGGCGUUACCGACAGAGAAAGCAACGGCUAACUCCGUGCCAGCAGCCGCGGUAAUAC
rnacentral:rRNA from 1 species